rnacentral:rRNA from 1 species
GACGAACGCUGGCGGCGUGCUUAACACAUGCAAGUCGAACGCUGAAGCUUGGUGCUUGCACUGGGUGGAUGAGUGGCGAACGGGUGAGUAAUAAGUGAGUAACCUGCCCUUGACUCUGGGAUAAGCCUGGGAAACUGGGUCUAAUACUGGAUACGACAUGUCACCGCAUGGUGGUGUGUGGAAAGGGUUUUACUGGUUUUGGAUGGGCUCACGGCCUAUCAGCUUGUUGGUGGGGUAAUGGCUCACCAAGGCGACGACGGGUAGCCGGCCUGAGAGGGUGACCGGCCACACUGGGACUGAGACACGGCCCAGACUCCUACGGGAGGCAGCAGUGGGGAAUAUUGCACAAUGGGCGGAAGCCUGAUGCAGCGACGCCGCGUGAGGGAUGACGGCCUUCGGGUUGUAAACCUCUUUCAGCACGGAAGAAGCGAAAGUGACGGUACGUGCAGAAGAAGCGCCGGCUAACUACGU